rnacentral:tRNA from 1 species
GUGAAUUUAAUUUAACUUAAAAAUAUUUGAUUUGCAAUCAGAAAAUUUGGGUUCAAGUCCCAGAAUUCACA